rnacentral:misc_RNA from 1 species
GAGAAUAAUGGCAAUUCCAACUGAGGAAUGUAGAAGGCUUUUAAGGAAUGAAGAAUUGAUGGGUCUUGCAGAAGCUCCUGGUUAUUUGCAUCCUUCAGAUGAAUUAUGCCAUGAAAUUGAUUCCCCAAACUCUAUCACAAUUCCUGCAAUAAGUACUCCUGAAGCACAGAAGAAAAGGUUCUCAUCAGAUUCUGAUUCAAAUGAAACUUUUGGGAAAACACCUGAAGCAGCAAUGAAGAGUCCA